rnacentral:tRNA from 1 species
GGGGCUAUAGCUCAGUUGGGAGAGCGCUUCGUUCGCAAUGAAGAGGUCGGGAGUUCGAGCCUCCCUAGCUCCA